GUGAAUCAUCGAAUCUUUGAACGCAAAUUGCACUCUCCGGUUUUCCGGGAGGGUAUGCCUGUUUGAGGUUCUGUUUAAAAAAUAAUCGAGGCUUCUGCUGUGGUGGCGCUGCGGAAUUGGGUCAUCUUCCACCUGUCGUGGGUGUAAUCGACCUAAAUUUUGUCUGACGUUUUCUACGAACGUUUCUAAGCAUUUCUUGUACUUUCGCUACAUCAUACUCAGAUUAGUGAACACCACCGCUGCGG
rnacentral:misc_RNA from 1 species